AGAAUGUUCCAGGCAGACUUACCAUCAUCGGAAACGCAGGCCCAGAAGAAAUAAGCUUCAUGAGAGAAGGAACCGUGUCUAGCUCCUUCACUGCCAGAUUCCUAGAGCCUAGAAGGUAAUGAAGAGGUCAGAUAUCUACCAGUGUAUCAUGCCGCCUUAGCUGGGGUUCUCAGGAAUGUCAGAAGUACCUGAAUGGCUUUUCUAACAUUACACUCCUGUCUGCUUCCACC